CGAACUGCCGCACCUUUUUUUAUGAGGGGGGAACGGGUUAUUUUUCGGAGCGGGAUUGGCCAUUUUAAUUUACCUGGGAACUGAAAAUGUCAGAUAAAUUUU